rnacentral:lncRNA from 1 species
CCACAGUGUGGAAGGGGUCCCGAGCGGGUAGCCAGAGUUAGAUUAUGUGACUGCCUUUUAAACUCUUUAAGGCCGGAAAUACGUGUGGCGAGAUGUUACCAGAGCGAGAAACAAAGGCAAUUAACCGUUUGUAACAUGUCUUAGAUCUUGAGGAAAACUGGAAUUGCAACUUAGGUUUUAUCUACUUUAUGAACUUGCAGCAGCAUGGCAAAGGAGACGGGAUCUUACAGGACUUUGUUACAAACACUUUGGGAGGCCAAAGCAAGAGGAUUGCUCGAGCCCAGGAGUUUGAGACCAGACUGGACAACAUAGUAAACCUCAUCCCUACAAAAAAAAAAAAAAAGUAAAAAACGAAGCUGAAGGAUCUUUUGAGCCCGGGAGGUCGAGAUUGCAAUGAGCCGUGAUCAUGCCAUUACACUUACACCUGGGUGGCAGAGUGAGACCCUG